AGACAAACUCAAAAUGGGAGACAUUGGACAAGAUAACUGGCCAAACUCUUCCGAAGUGUCAAAGUCAUGAUGUCAAAGAGAGAGGGGAGACCUGAUUCCUGCUCCAGGACACCUCAGAGACAGGACAACUAAAUGAAAAUGUCUACUAUGGACUCACUGUGGAUCUUGUGAAGUUUGGCAUUUUCGUCCACCAGGUUAGAGAUAAACAUGUGCAAAAUGCUUGAUAAGACAAUUCACAAGCAAGAAUUUGAUCCAAAGGAACUGAUAAGAUGCUGGAGAAAUGUAUGAAAAACUCUUCAUACUACAGCAGGAAAAAAACUGUAGAACAAUUUAACCCGUGGAAUUAUUGGAAGGAAAGAGGAACUGUCAUUAUACCCAAGAAAAUCUCAGUUGGAUAUCCAAAGAUGUUUUAUCAUCAGCCCAGCUACAGCAGAUCAGCAAGAGAAUCAGGCUGUCUGGUUUGGAAAAUAAAUUUUGACACUGCUCUGUCCUCCCUGUCCUGUAACAGGCCAACCUCCCGAAGAUGCAUAAAGACACCUUUGCCGUUGACCAGGCAGACCCUGCAUCCACAGGACAUAGAGAGAAAGGUGCUCCCUGAACACUGAUCUGGAUAAGCAUUGCUGGGUCAGUGCAGAGGCGUCCAUUUCCCCAGUCUGCCGAGCUGGCCUAAAGCUGAGGACCUCUUAGUGGGAGCUGAGGACAUGUGCCUGAAGAGGCAAGCCCUUGACUGAUGGAAAUUGGAGUCUGAGUUCCAUGUGGGGGACUGGGAAGCACAGCAAGGUCUGAAAUGGGAGACCCAGGGAAGGGCAGAGAGGACCAAAGGAGGAAGGGGGUCUACAGUGUGGGAAACAGCCUGGACGCAACAGCCGGGGGAGGAGGCCUGCUCUGGCCCCAGUGGCCCCUUGUAAGCAGGAAAGGCAGCUGGCUAGACCUCUUCUGUGUUAUUCACUCUGAUUUUAUCCUUUAUCUUCCCCUCCCAACCUCACCUCCUUUCUAACCCCAAAGCCAUGCAGCUAAUAUGACUAAGAUUGCUGGGCGUUUGCUUGGAAAUGCAAAUGAGAAUUUCUGGUAGUUUCCUAGUUUCCUUGAUCUCCUUUGUCAAGUUUAUUGAGGGGAAAGGACUCUCGGUUAAAAAAAAAAAAAAAAGAAAA
ensembl:lncRNA LINC01792 long intergenic non-protein coding RNA 1792